rnacentral:tRNA from 1 species
GGGGGUAGGAUAUUAUAGCUCAGUGGUAGAGCGCAUGCUUAGCAUGCAUGAGAUCCUGGGUUCAAUCCCCAGUACCUCCA